rnacentral:rRNA from 1 species
UACGGAGGGGGGCUAGCGUUGUUCGGAAUUACUGGGCGUAAAGCGCACGUAGGCGGCUUUGCAAGUUAGAGGUGAAAGCCCGGGGCUCAACUCCGGAAUUGCCUUUAAGACUGCAUCGCUAGAAUUGUGGAGAGGUAAGUGGAAUUCCGAGUGUAGAGGUGAAAUUCGUAGAUAUUGGGAAGAACACCGGUGGCGAAGGCGGCUCACUGGCUCGUUACUGACGCUCAGGCACGACAGCGUGGGGAUCAAACAGG